rnacentral:rRNA from 1 species
GACGAACGCGGGCGGCGUGCCUAAUACAUGCAAGUCGAGCGCAGGAAAUCGACGGAACCCUUCGGGGGGAAGUCGAUGGAAUGAGCGGCGGACGGGUGAGUAACACGUAAAGAACCUGCCCUCAGGUCUGGGAUAACCACGAGAAAUCGGGGCUAAUACCGGAUGGGUCAUCGGACCGCAUGGUCCGAGGAUGAAAGGCGCUUCGGCGUCGCCUGGGGAUGGCUUUGCGGUGCAUUAGCUAGUUGGUGGGGUAAUGGCCCACCAAGGCGACGAUGCAUAGCCGACCUGAGAGGGUGAUCGGCCACACUGGGACUGAGACACGGCCCAGACUCCUACGGGAGGCAGCAGUAGGGAAUCUUCCACAAUGGACGAAAGUCUGAUGGAGCAACGCCGCGUGAACGAUGAAGGCCUUCGGGUCGUAAAGUUCUGUUGUAAGGGAAGAACAAGUGCUGCAGGCAAUGGCGGCACCUUGACGGUACCUUGCGAGAAAGCCACGGCUAACUACGUGCCAGCCGCCGCAGUAACAC